CAACCCUCAAGCUCUGCUUGGUAUUGGGAAUCACCUCCUUGGUGUGCCUUAAAAUUAUUGGCGGUGCCACCUGGCUUCUAGCGUAGUAAUACCUCUCGCUAUGGAGUCUUUGGUGAAGUGCUUGCCAUCAACCCCUUAUUCUCAAA
rnacentral:misc_RNA from 1 species